UAUUGCACAAUGGGCGCAAGCCUGAUGCAGCCAUGCCGCGUGUAUGAAGAAGGCCUUCGGGUUGUAAAGUACUUUCAGCGGGGAAGAAAGCGGUUCGGUUAAUAACCGCGCCGAUUGACGUUACCCGCAGAAGAAGCACCGGCUAACUCCGUUCCAGCAGCCGCGGUAAUACGGAGGGUGCAAGCGUUAAUCGGAAUUACUGGGCGUAAAGCGCACGUAGGCGGUCUGUUAAGUCAGAUGUGAAAUCCCCGGGCUUAACCUAGGAACUGCAUUUGAAACUGGCAGGCUUGAGUCUCGUAGAGGGGGGUAGAAUUCCAGGUGUAGCGGUGAAAUGCGUAGAGAUCUGGAGGAAUACCGGUGGCGAAGGCGGCCCCCUGGACGAAGACUGACGCUCAGGUGCGAAAGCGUGGGGAGCAAACAG
rnacentral:rRNA from 1 species